rnacentral:rRNA from 1 species
GACGUAGGAUGCAAGCGUUGUCCGGAUUUAUUGGGCGUAAAGAGUUCGUAGGUGGUUCGUUAAGUCUGAUGUUAAAGACUGGGGCUCAACCCUGGGAGUGCAUUGGAUACUGGCGGACUGGAGUGCAGUAGAGGCAAGCGGAAUUCCCAGUGUAGCGGUGAAAUGCGUAGAUAUUGGGAAGAACACCGGUGGCGCAAGCGGCUUGCUGGGCUGUAACUGACGCUGAGGAACGAAAGCUAGGGGAGCGAAUGGG